UACGUAGGUGGCAAGCGUUGUCCGGAUUUAUUGGGUUUAAAGGGUGCGUAGGCGGUUCUGUAAGUCAGUGGUGAAAUCCGGCAGCUCAACUGUCGAUGUGCCAUUGAUACUGCAGAACUUGAGUACAGACGAGGUAGGCGGAAUUGACGGUGUAGCGGUGAAAUGCUUAGAUAUCGUCAAGAACACCGAUAGCGAAGGCAGCUUACUAGACUGUAACUGACGCUGAUGCACGAAAGUGUGGGGAUCGAAACAGG
rnacentral:rRNA from 1 species